rnacentral:piRNA from 1 species
GAGGCAAAGAAUGAACUGAAACG